rnacentral:lncRNA from 7 species
AAAAGAAGCGAGGAAAAAUAAAAUGGUGGGGACGACUCGAAGCGCCGCGGAAGGGUGAAUGCUGCUGGCAAAACAGAAUCCCCCAGAAUGCUGAAUGUAGCAGAGGAAUAUGAAACUAAGCAAUGAUUCAGCAAAGAAGGUUACAUAAUUUGCUUCGGUUCACUUCGUACACAUGUUUUGACAUUUGUCAACUGAUAAAUAAGACCAUCUAGUAAAGGAAAAUCUGAAGAGUCCACAAGUCUGCAAUGAGAAUAUCAUUCAAAGACAGGCUUUUCUGCUUCCAGGAGCAGCAACAUAGAAGCUAUCCCAUCAGCUAUACAUAAGUAGCAGUUGUUGAAAUGAGUGGGACCUGCAGCAGGGCUGUCUAACUAAUAACAUGAUUGUCAUAAUAGCGAACAACUGGCAAGUCAUUUGUUGCAGAAUGUGUCAGAAGAAGAAGAAACAGGAAGAAUCCAUAUUAAUGUAUUUUUAGGAUUACCACAACUAAGAGAUGAAAAUAUAAAAAUUUAGAGGAAGAACAUCCCAGUAUUGCCCCAAUUUGCAAAUAAAAUUAACCAUUAAAGGGGGAAAAUAAACGGAGUAUAAUUGCAAGCCCCCAGAAACUGAUAUGUAUAUGCUGAUACAUGUCUAACAGAUAUACACAAUGGAUGAGUGAGACAAAUCAUUCACUGCCUUUGAUAUAAGUUUUUAUGUCACUCUGAUUGUACUUUCUUUACCAUCUGAAAUAACUCCAUUACCUCAACCCUAGUUUUUCCCCUGUUACACAAUCUCAUCUGUUUUGGAAGCUGUGUUCUACCUCUUUUUACAAUAUCAAACAAACCAACAACAACAACAAAAACAUAAAUCAAUAUCAACAACAGUAAAAGACAUGGAGAAGAUUCUAGCCAGCAGAUUAGUCAUUUUGCUUAUGUAAAUUCAAAGUUCAAGUCCCUUUUAUACCUACCUGCAAAGAUUUGAAUCCCACAGGGCAAGAGAAUGGCUGAGCUAUCAACCUAUUAUCUAUUCAGUGCAGGAUACAUUAUUAAAUAUUAAUAUGACCACAUUAGAUUUACUCUUUUUUGUUGCCAUUUUGUCCCCUGCCAUUUAGGUCUACGUAAAUGUGAGAAAAAUCAGCUUUCUAAUGGUGACAGUGUAUUUUUAACAGUAGUGUCUCAAUCAUGCAAACUUUGUGUGCAUCCUGUCCGUGCAGAAGAGCUCAUUGAAGUCCAUAGGAUUCUAACAUUGAGGACAUCCACUCAUGCAGAAAAGCCUGCAGAAUCCAAACCCUGAGUUUACAGACAUUUUCUCAUACCUCUGUCCAGUCAGUGAUUAAAUGUGGGUUGUAAUAGCUGAAGGCUUUUAGGAUUUUUCAAGUCUUAUCAACAGACAGACAAAUGGUACUUAAAAGCACACAAUCUUAGAGUUUAAAUGUUAAGUACAACAGAUGCUUCUAGUAGAGCCAUGUGAAGCUUUGAUUAUUUGUUAACUGCAUUGUUUUCCACUUUAUUUUCAAAAAUACAUAUUUCUUUUUCAGAUAUUGUGUAAACAGAUAAGUUUUGACUAACAAGGUUGUGGCAAUAAAAUC